rnacentral:lncRNA from 1 species
AAUAGGUUAACCUCAUCAUACGGGAGAGUCCCAUAAGAAACCAAAGCCUCCACACAUUACCACGCCAAAAUAAAAGCCACACCAAUUAUGAAUGGAUGUUAAAGGAGGAGUCCUUCUUUAUUACUCCUCUUAAUUUGCCUGCCUAAAAUUCCAUCCAUCUUUUAAUGGGACGCACUAUCAAAUGGCACAUGGGAUUCUGUGGAGGAACUCACAUGCCAAAAUUAAAUGGGAUGCCCACUCUUUUGUGCUGUG